rnacentral:lncRNA from 1 species
GCUAACUACUUGUCUAAAUGUUCAAAAGCUCCAGUAAAUAUGCAAAUUAGUUGGAAGAAAAGUUCUUGAUGGAGCUGGUCAGCCAAUAUUAGAAGUGGAAAUAUACUGUACAGUUAAAAAAAUAUGAGAAGGUCCUUAUGUCUCUCUUUGUGUAACACUCUUGCAGGAAAAUUCAGUACAGGUUUUUUCCAGAGGAUUUGUUCCACUGUAAUGGCUACUCAUUCUCAAAAAACUGAAAAUGCUUUACCUGAAAAAUCUAAACUGAUGAGAAAGAAAGAAAUUUCUGUGUUCGUUCUGCUGUGGAAUGGGUCAGUGAAUCAGUGA